UCCUCUUUCAUAUUCUGAAUUAAAAUUAUUUUUUGGGUCAUUAUUAAUAUUUUUCAUGAUUUAAUUGAUUUUGUGAAUAUUUUUAAUUGUUUAAAAAUACUUUUAAGUCUUUAAAAAUUCUGAAAUUUUUUCUCCCAGGUCCUUUGAACUUGUUUGACUUAUGAUAAAUCUCAUGGCCAUUUCUUUGGUGUUUUGAUGAGGUUUUAGGAAUUUGACAAACCAUAUUUAAUUUAAAUGCAUUAU
rnacentral:lncRNA from 1 species